rnacentral:rRNA from 1 species
UACAGAGGCCUCGAGCGUUAGGCGGAAUCACUGGGCCUAAAGCGUGUGUAGGCGGAUCGUUAAGUACCUUGUGAAAUCCCACGGCUCAACCGUGGAACGGCUGGGUAUACUGGCGGUCUUGGGCCAUUCAGGGGCGACUGGAACAAGCGGUGGAGCGGUGAAAUGCGUAGAUAUCGCUUGGAACGCCGAAGGUGAAAACAGGUCGCUGGGGAUGUGCCGACGCUGAGACACGAAAGCCAGGGGAGCAAACGGG